AGCCCCGUGGUGUAGUGGUCAACCUUUCCCUACAAACUGAGUUAUAUCUUAUCGGUGUUUCCGAAGGAAAGGAUUAUGCAUAACUGGCUCUGGACCAGUUGACGUAGGUUCGAAUCCUGCCGGGGCUA
rnacentral:tRNA from 1 species